AAAAACAUAGUAUAAAAAAGUAUUAUUCACUUACAUUGAAUAGGUGAUCGUUAGAUCUGUUUUUA
rnacentral:tRNA from 1 species